ACACAUGCAAGUCGAACGGUGAAGCGGGUGCUUGCACUCGUGGAUCAGUGGCGAACGGGUGAGUAACACGUGAGUAACCUGCCCUCCACUCUGGGAUAAGCGCUGGAAACGGCGUCUAAUACUGGAUAUGACCGACCCUCGCAUGGGGUGUUGGUGGAAAGAUUUAUCGGUGGUGGAUGGACUCGCGGCCUAUCAGCUUGUUGGUGGGGUAAUGGCCUACCAAGGCGACGACGGGUAGCCGGCCUGAGAGGGCGACCGGCCACACUGGGACUGAGACACGGCCCAGACUCCUACGGGAGGCAGCAGUGGGGAAUAUUGCACAAUGGGCGAAAGCCUGAUGCAGCGACGCCGCGUGAGGGAUGACGGCCUUCGGGUUGUAAACCUCUUUCAGCAGGGAAGAAGCUUUUGUGACGGUACCUGCAGAAGAAGCACCGGCUAACUACGUGCCAGCAGCCGCGGUAAUACGUAGGGUGCGAGCGUUGUCCGGAAUUAUUGGGCGUAAAGAGCUUGUAGGCGGUUUGUCGCGUCUGCUGUGAAAAUUCAGGGCUUAACCCUGGACGUGCAGUGGGUACGGGCAGACUAGAGUGUGGUAGGGGAGACUGGAAUUCCUGGUGUAGCGGUGGAAUGCGCAGAUAUCAGGAGGAACACCGAUGGCGAAGGCAGGUCUCUGGGCCAUUACUGACGCUGAGAAGCGAAAGCAUGGGGAGCGAACAGGAUUAGAUACCCUGGUAGUCCAUGCCGUAAACGUUGGGCGCUAGGCGUGGGUCUCAUUCCACGAGAUCCGUGUCGCAGCUAACGCAUUAAGCGCCCCGCCUGGGGAGUACGGCCGCAAGGC
rnacentral:rRNA from 1 species